rnacentral:piRNA from 1 species
UAAAUGUUUGUAGGAUGCAGCUGGGAUGG